AUGGCCGCCGCCGGGAACCCCAUCGGUGGCGUCCUUCUGCUUCUGCUGCUCGUAGCCGCCUUCAUGUCCACCGCCGAAGGCAGAAUCAAGGGGGUCGUCCGAGCGCCCUUGGCGUCUGUCGCACCAGGCGCCGGCGAGCGUGACAUGGGAGGCGAGCGCGUGCCCACGCACUCCGUCGUCGACUGUUUCAUGGGCUGCGUCAGCAUGGCGGAUGAUUGUGGGAGCUUUUGCAUGGACAAGCCGCUCGACGAAGCGAACGACUGCAUGACGGAAUGCCUCACCGCUGACCUCUCCUGCCUCACCGGCUGCGGCCCGGCACUCGGUCCCGCGCCGCCGGCUGAUGCCUGA
rnacentral:rRNA from 1 species